GUCAGGCAUGGUGGUGCAUGCCUGUAAUCCCAGCAACUCUGGAGGCUGAAGCAGGAGGACUGCAAGUUUGAGGUCAGCCUGGGAAAUUUGUGAGACUCUGUCUCAA
rnacentral:sRNA from 1 species